CCUUCGGGUUGUAAACUGCUUUUGUACGGAACGAAACGGCGAGCUCUAAUACAGUUUGCUAAUCGACCGGUACCGUAAGAACUAAGCACCGGCUAACUACGUGC
rnacentral:rRNA from 1 species